AACAAUAAAUACAUAUGAAAAAAAAAAAAAUAAAAAAUACACAAAAUGAUUGCUGUUGGUGUGUGUUUCCCUGUCCAUUUGUAUUUCCUCCCUUUUCCUUCUCCCCUUCAUCGUCCCAAAG
rnacentral:ribozyme from 1 species